rnacentral:rRNA from 1 species
UAGGGAAUCUUCCACAAUGGACGCAAGUCUGAUGGAGCAACGCCGCGUGAGUGAAGAAGGUUUUCGGAUCGUAAAGCUCUGUUGUUGGUGAAGAAGGAUAGAGGCAGUAACUGGUCUUUAUUUGACGGUAAUCAACCAGAAAGUCACGGCUAACUACGUGCCAGCAGCCGCGGUAAUACGUAGGUGGCAAGCGUUGUCCGGAUUUAUUGGGCGUAAAGCGAGCGCAGGCGGAAUGAUAAGUCNGAUGUGAAAGCCCACGGCUCAACCGUGGAACUGCAUCGGAAACUGUCAUUCUUNAGUGCAGA